CCUACGGGAGGCAGCAGUGGGAAUCUUGCACAAUGGAGGAAACUCUGAUGCAGCGAUGCCGCGUGAGUGAAGAAGGCCUUUGGGUUGUAAAGCUCUUUUGUAGGGGAAGAUAAUGACUGUACCCUAAGAAUAAGGUCCGGCUAACUUCGUGCCAGCAGCCGCGGUAAUACGAAGGGACCUAGCGUAGUUCGGAAUUACUGGGCGUAAAGCGCGCGUAGGCCGUUGAGUUAGUUAAUUGUGAAAUCCCAAAGCUUAACUUUGGAACUGCAAUUAAAACUGCUCGACUAGAGUUUGAUAGAGGAAAGCGGAAUACAUAGUGUAGAGGUGAAAUUCGUAGAUAUUAUGUAGAACACCAGUUGCGAAGGCGGCUUUCUGGAUCAACACUGACGCUGAGGCGCGAAAGUAUGGGUAGCAAAGAGGAUUAGAUACCCUCGUAGUCCAUACUAUAAACGAUGAUUGCUAGAUGUUGGAAAUUUAUUUUCAGUAUCGCAGCUAACGCAUUAAGCAAUCCGCCUGGGGAUACGACCGCAAGGUUAAAACUUAAAGAUAUAGACGUGNGAGUGCGACGAGACACAGGAGUAGAG
rnacentral:rRNA from 1 species